GUUAUAUGGUCAAGCGAAUAAGCGCACACGGUGGAUGCCUAGGCGGUCAGAGGCGAUGAAGGACGUGGUAGCCUGCGAAAAGUGUCGGGGAGCUGGCAACAAGCUUUGAUCCGGCAAUAUCCGAAUGGGGAAACCCACUGCUUCGGCAGUAUCCUGCAGUGAAUUCAUAGCUGCUGGAAGCGAACCCGGUGAACUGAAAUAUCUAAGUAACCGGAGGAAAAGAAAUCAACCGAGAUUCCCUAAGUAGUGACGAGCGAACGGGGAACAGCCCUUAAGCUGGAAUGGCUUUAGAAAAACAAUCUGGAAAGAUUGGCCAUAGAAGGUGAUAGCCCUGUAUUUAAAAGGGCCACUCCAGUGAAGACGAGUAGGGCGGGGCACGUGAAACCCUGUCUGAAUAUGGGGGGACCAUCCUCCAAGGCUAAAUACUCCUGACCGACCGAUAGUGAACCAGUACCGUGAGGGAAAGGCGAAAAGAACCCCGGAGAGGGGAGUGAAAUAGAUCCUGAAACCGUGUGCGUACAAGCAGUAGGAGCUCGCAAGAGUGACUGCGUACCUUUUGUAUAAUGGGUCAGCGACUUACUGUUCGUGGCAAGCUUAACCGUAUAGGGGAGGCGAAGGGAAACCGAGUCUGAUAAGGGCGCAUAGUCGCGGGCAGUAGACCCGAAACCGGGUGAUCUAGUCAUGGCCAGGGUGAAGGUGCCGUAACAGGUACUGGAGGCCCGAACCCACGUCUGUUGCAAAAGACGGGGAUGAGCUGUGAUUAGGAGUGAAAAGCUAAUCGAACCCGGAGAUAGCUGGUUCUCCUCGAAAGCUAUUUAGGUAGCGCCUCGGACGAAUACUACUGGGGGUAGAGCACUGUUAUGGCUAGGGGGUCAUCGCGACUUACCAAACCAUUGCAAACUCCGAAUACCAGUACGUACUAUCCGGGAGACACACGGCGGGUGCUAACGUCCGUCGUGAAAAGGGAAACAACCCAGACCCACAGCUAAGGUCCCAAAUUCACUGCUAAGUGGAAAACGAUGUGGAAAGGCAUAGACAGCCAGGAGGUUGGCUUAGAAGCAGCCACCCUUUAAAGAAAGCGUAAUAGCUCACUGGUCGAGUCGGUCUGCGCGGAAGAUUUAACGGGGCUAAGCAGUGAACCGAAGCUUGGGGUGCAUAAAACUUGUUUUAUGCGCGGUAGAGGAGCGUUCCGUAAGCCUGCGAAGGUGGAUUGAGAAGUCUGCUGGAGGUAUCGGAAGUGCGAAUGCUGACAUGAGUAACGAUAAUGCGGGUGAAAAGCCCGCACGCCGAAAGCCCAAGGUUUCCUUGCGCAACGUUAAUCGACGCAGGGUUAGUCGGUCCCUAAGGCGAGGGCGAAAGCCGUAGUCGAUGGGAAGCAGGUUAAUAUUCCUGCACCUCGCGUGAGUGCGAUGGAGGGACGGAGAAGGUUAGGUGUACCGGGCGUUGGUUGUCCCGGGGAAAGGCGGUAGGUUUGGAUCUUUGGCAAAUCCGGGAUCCUUUAAGACCGAGCACCGAGACGAGCCUUUAUGGCGAAGUCACUGAUACCACGCUUCCAGGAAAAGCUCCUAAGCUUCAGCUCACGAAGACCGUACCGUAAACCGACACAGGUGGGUAGGAUGAGAAUUCUCAGGCGCUUGAGAGAACUCGGGUGAAGGAACUAGGCAACAUGGCACCGUAACUUCGGGAGAAGGUGCACCCUUUUUGGUGGCUCAUGCGAGCUAUAGCUGAAGAGGGUCGCAGAAACCAGGCCGCUGCGACUGUUUAUCAAAAACACAGCACUCUGCAAACACGAAAGUGGACGUAUAGGGUGUGACGCCUGCCCGGUGCUGGAAGGUUAAUUGAUGGGGUCAGCCGCAAGGCGAAGCUCUUGAUCGAAGCCCCAGUAAACGGCGGCCGUAACUAUAACGGUCCUAAGGUAGCGAAAUUCCUUGUCGGGUAAGUUCCGACCUGCACGAAUGGCGUAACGACAGCGGCGCUGUCUCCACCCGAGACUCAGUGAAAUUGAAAUCGCUGUGAAGAUGCAGCGUUCCCGUGGCAAGACGGAAAGACCCCGUGAACCUUUACUAUAGCUUUACACUGAACGUUGAGUUCGUCUGUGUAGGAUAGGUGGGAGGCUAUGAAACUGUGGCGCUAGCUGCAGUGGAGCCAUCCUUGAAAUACCACCCUGUCGUGCUUGACGUUCUAACCUAGGUCCGUUAUCCGGAUCAGGGACCGUGUAUGGUGGGUAGUUUGACUGGGGCGGUCUCCUCCUAAAGAGUAACGGAGGAGCACGAAGGUACGCUCAGCGCGGUCGGACAUCGCGCACUGUGUGCAAAGGCAUAAGCGUGCUUGACUGCAAGAUCGACGGAUCAAGCAGGUACGAAAGUAGGUCUUAGUGAUCCGGUGGUUCUGUAUGGAAGGGCCAUCGCUCAACGGAUAAAAGGUACUCCGGGGAUAACAGGCUGAUACCGCCCAAGAGUUCAUAUCGACGGCGGUGUUUGGCACCUCGAUGUCGGCUCAUCACAUCCUGGGGCUGUAGUCGGUCCCAAGGGUAUGGCUGUUCGCCAUUUAAAGUGGUACGCGAGCUGGGUUCAGAACGUCGUGAGACAGUUCGGUCCCUAUCUGCCAUGGGCGUUGGAAGUUUGAGAGGGGCUGCUCCUAGUACGAGAGGACCGGAGUGGACGAACCUCUGGUGUUCCGGUUGUCACGCCAGUGGCAUUGCCGGGUAGCUAUGUUCGGAAGCGAUAACCGCUGAAAGCAUCUAAGCGGGAAGCGCGCCUCAAGAUGAGACUUCCCGGGGCACAAGCCCCCUAAAGGAACCAUGUAGACUACGUGGUUGAUAGGUCAGGUGUGUAAGUACAGCAAUGUAUUGAGCUAACUGAUACUAAUGAUCCGUGCGGCUUGACCAUAUAACCU
rnacentral:rRNA from 1 species